rnacentral:rRNA from 1 species
CCUACGGGAGGCAGCAGUGGGGAAUAUUGGACAAUGGGCGCAAGCCUGGUCCAGCCAUGCCGCGUGUGUGAAGAAGGCCUUCGGGUUGUAAAGCACUUUUGUUGGGGAAGAAAAGAUCCGGGCUAAUAACCCGGGUUCAUGACGGUACCCAAAGAAUAAGCACCGGCUAACUUCGUGCCAGCAGCCGCGGUAAUACGAAGGGUGCAAGCGUUACUCGGAAUUACUGGGCGUAAAGCGUGCGUAGGCGGUUUGUUAAGUCUGUCGUGAAAGCCCCGGGCUCAACCUGGGAAUGGCGGUGGAUACUGGCAGGCUAGAGUACGGUAGAGGAUGGUGGAAUUCCCGGUGUAGCAGUGAAAUGCGUAGAGAUCGGGAGGAACAUCUAUGGCGAAGGCAGCCAUCUGGACCAGUACUGACGCUGAGGCACGAAAGCGUGGGGAGCAAACAGGAUUAGAUACCCUGGUAGUCCACGCCCUAAACGAUGCGAACUGGACGUUGGGCUCAAUUGAGAGCUCAGUGUCGAAGCUAACGCGUUAAGUUCGCCGCCUGGGGAGUACGGUCGCAAGACUGAAACUCAAAGGAAUUGACGG